rnacentral:lncRNA from 1 species
UGAGCCACAGCGCCCGGCCGAGACUCUCCUUAAGUUGUAAAUACAUAGGGUUCAGAUUCCAACCUCUUGGGUUCCUUUUUCUGGCUCAGCAACUUCUUCCACACAUCCCCAGGGUGAGUUGCUUGGUCUCAUGGAAUCAGUCUCCCUGCCUGUUCAAAGGGGAGGAGGGGUAAUAAUGCGUUUACCACAGGGGUGUUGGUUAAAUUAAUUAGUAUUUAUUAUGUGCUCCAUUAAGGUCCUCAGGUGAUGUAUAACUUGACAGUUAUAUGGCACCUGAUCAUUGCUUUAAGUUUUGAAAACAGUCCUUGGUUUUUAAACCCAUGCAAGAAACAUAACAAUUCUUUAUGCUUCCAACAGUAGGAUUAAGCAUAGGAAUAUUUUAGCUUUUCUUACUAUUUUUCUUUUUGAGAUGGAAUUUCCCUCUUGUUGCCCAGGCUGGAGUGCAAUGGCACAAUCUCAGCUCACUGCAACCUCCGCCUCCCGGGUAGCUGAGAUUACAGGCACCUGCUACCACGCCUGGCUAAUUUUUGUAUUUUUAGUAGAGAUGGGGUUUCACCAUGAUGACCAGGCUGGUCUCAUACUCCUGACCUCAGGUGAUCCACCUGACUCCACCUCCCAAAGUGCUAGGAUUACAGGCGACAGCCAUGGUGCCCAGACCAUUUUAGCUUUUCUAAGAACAAUUAUUUUCCUGGGGUGAAAAUAUUGGCAGGUUACAAAAGCUUAUUUCCUCAGCUUUAGACUAUGAAUAGAAUAGCUUUAAUUUAUAGUUGAUAAAAGCAGAAGGAAGAAAGUUUUAUAAAAGCCAUUUUAAUGGCUUAUUCUGCCAUCUUCGGUGGCAUUUUAAACUACUCACAAUUGAAGGGAAAUUGGUUCAUCUAUUUUACAAUUAUUUAAUUCUGGCAUUUAAAAGAAACCCAAGAAGUAAUUUAAUUGAACUCCUUUGCUUACUAUAAUAGUACUAAGCACCUGCUCUUCAAGACAACAUUCUCGUUUUAUAGAUGAGGAAACCAAGGUUCAGUGAACUUAAAUCACAGUGCAGAGAAUCAAAUCCCAGACGCCAUUCUCUCUCUGCCACUUCAGACACCGCCAAGAAGUUAUACUUAAAGCUGCCCUGUACAGAAAGGAAUUUCUUCUCUUCUUUAUCCCUAUUCUCUCUCUCUCUCUUUGAACUUAGAAACUAAACCAAUUUUUUUUUCUUUUUUUCUUUUCUUUUCUUUCUUUUUUUUUUUAAGAGAAGAGAUCUCACCAUGUUUCCCAGGCUGGUCUCGAACUUCUGGGCUCAAGCGAUUCUCCUGCCUUGGCCUCUCAAAGUGCUGGGAUUACAGGCAAGAGCCCCUGUCCACAACCUAAACAAAGAUAUUCUAAUGGAAUCUCAGUUUUAUCCCCAGAGAGCUUAUGAGUGCCCCCAAGUCAUCAGUUAAAAGUUAUCUUGAAAGACAAGUAGUUUAAAAUCACUCUUAAAAGACACUUCUAUACAUUGUUAUUGAAGAAACAAAAGCUACACAUAUCCUUUUUUUUGAGAAUUAGUCCACUGAGUUUUAGUGAUGUUUUAAUAUCAAAUUAACAUGAAUACUAUAUGGUCAGAGCUUUUUCAACUUUGUAUUGAAGUAUGUGGUUCCCCCUUACCCGUGGGGGAUAUAUUUCAAGACCCCCACUGGGCGCCUAAACGGCAAAUAGUACAGAACCCUAUAGAUACUGUUUUCUGCUAUACAUGCAUAACUUUUUGAUAAAGUUUAAUUUAUAAACUAGGCAUAGUAAGAAGUUAACAAUAACAAUAACAAAAUAGAACAAUUAUAGCAAUAGGCUGUAAUAAAGGUUAAUGUGGUCUCUCUCUCAAAAUAUCUUAUUGUAUUGUAUGUUGGGCAAUUGAAACCAUGAAAAGUGAAACCAUGGAUAAGGGGGGGACUACUGUACAAACAGAAAUAAAGUACACUCAUUUUUUGAAAUAUCUAAAAUCUAUCCCAUCUUCACUUUGUAAUAAGACGAGUACAUAUCAUUGCCAUUUCAUAUCUCAGAGGAAUGUACUAUGUGUACUAAAGAACUCAAAUAAUGAAUAAAUUGGCCUACAUAUCUAAGAGUGCUUUGAAAGUUUAAGCUCCAUAUUGAAAUUAAAAUAUUAUUAGUAAAGUAUUAUUACAGCUAUGAUUUCAUUUUAAGUAAUAAUGAUACAUUUUCUUAUGGCUUUGGGCAGCAGGCAAAAAAGAUAAAGAUAAUAUUUAAAAUUGAACCUGGGCAACAUAGUGAGACCCCAUCUUGAAAAAAAUAAAAAACAAUUUAUUGGUCAUGUUGGCAUGUGCAUGUAGUCCCAGCUACUUGGGAGACUGAGGAGGGAGAAUUGAUUGAGCCCAGGAGUUCAAGGUUGCAGUGAGCCAGGAUCACGCCACUGCACUCCAGCCUGGGUGACAGAGACCCUGACUCUUUAAAUAAAAACUUUGUAGGCACCUCUGUAUGCUAUCAUUGUUUCUUAAAACAAUGAUUAUAACUCACAUAUUGUAUAGAUGUGUAUAAAAUUUUGUCCAUAAAAUUUACCUCUAAAUAAACUGCAUAAAUCAUCUUUCUUGCCCAUCAUAGAAAAAAUAUGGUCUUAAAGUCCAGAAGGACCCAAGAAUUUGAAUAAUAAUUCAGAGGAGUUCAUGCCAAGUUGAUAUCCAUCUUUUCCUUUAAUUUUGACUCAUUUAUUUCUAUUUAGCAUUCACUGACAACCAAAUAAAUGGAGACACCUUGGCUAAUUCAUACCACUGUUCUAAGAUAGUAAAUAUCAGACGCCCAACUGCAGAGGCUUUAUGAUGCUGCUGGCGGGAACAUAUAAGUUACUGAAACAUUCUCCCUGAGCAAAGGUUCUUCUUAUUAUUUUUGUUUAAUUGUAGCUCAUUGCACUACUCAUCUCUAGAGAGUGAAUCAGCUCAGCCCUACCUUUAAAUUGGACAGAAGGACAUAGGCCACUAAAUGUCCUGCUCUACACCAAGACCCUAAUUAAACAAAAACAAAAUAGCCAUUCCUCACAUACCUCGAAAGACUAAUGAGGCUUUAAUCCCUAUCCUCAGUGUCGAUUGUAGCAGGAACAAGAGCUGAGCAGCCUUCUGGGUAUUGAGUCUCAGUGGCGCAGUUCCCUCCUGGAACUGCAUAGAGCUCUGGCACCAUAGGGCCAUAGGGCUCUGGUACUACUAGCAGAAAAUACCCUGAGAAGAUUCCUGAGGGACCAAAUUCAGGGCUUUUUUCUGCCUGGUGAAAAACAUAAUUCUUCUCCAUCAAUCCCCUUAGGAUUUUUCCUUCUCCAUCAAUCCCCUUAGGGUUUUUCCCCAUGGAGUAACAUAUGACACCAAACUGACCCCACUGAAGAAUGAGUUAGCUGAAUGAGAAAGAAAAACAAUGUCUCAUAAAGUUACUGACUUUGCAACCUCAAUAGUUUGAGUUUAAUUUGCUAUCAGAAGUUGAUUAAUUAUAAUCUUUCAGAGUCAAUUCCCAUUUUUACCAAUAUAGCCCUGAAAUUGUGGCUCUAAGUUUUCAGGAAAAAAAUCACAUUUUUAAAGUGUAUUAAAUAUAAAUGCAGAUAUUAACUAAACAGAUCAUAAAAACUUUCUUAUCUAAGGUGUUUGUUGAGAAUAACUUAUUUAUGAAAUUUACUAUAAUCCAAUAUGAUGAUUUAUUUAAAUCAUUUGAUUUUCUAAUUUUUUUCUUUAGAGUUGAAAUUUUUACACUGUCUCAGAUCUACAACAAAAUGUAUUUACAAGGAAAUACAUUUUAUAUUUUUAAAGAUGAAGUCUUGCUAUGUUGCCCAGGCUGAUCUCAAAUUCCUGGCCUCAAGUGAUCCUCCUGCCUCAGCCUCCCAAAUUGUUCGGAUUACAAGGGUGAGCGACUGUUCCUGGCUUACAUGGAAAUAUUUUUAAAGGUCUGCAUCUUAUAAACACUUUAUGGUCCCAGAACUUAAACAAACAAGCAAACAAAAAAAAAUCAAUUAGAAAAAGAAGAUCACCUCCUUUGAGAAUAAAAGUGAAAACAAUUUUUUUUAAAAGAAGAAGUAACGGAGUGAAGGGUGGACAGAAAUUGGAACUGAUCUAUUGGUCAUGUAAUACUUUUUUACCAACAUAAUACAUCAGAAGAUAAAAAGCUAUUUCAAUUUCCCUUAAAAAUACAUGCUGAUACUUUAGCAACUCCCAUGGUAAGAAAGUGUUUUAGUGUAUCUAAUAAUAAUAAUAAAGAAUAAAGGGUCAUUAUCUACAUGGAAAACUCAAAAACUAAAUUUAUAGAGCAACCAAAAAUAAGAAUACAGAACAUCUGUAUGAAUCUAUUUCAGAAAUGAAGUCUCUUGACUAUUUCAAAAGAAUCAGUCUCUCACACACUCACUAGGUUUCUUUAACUUCCCUAGUUACAUAACUGAUUCUGUGACUUGUAAACAAACAGCCCCAUUGCUUGACAAUUCUGGAUCUGUGGGUUUGUACUGCUGUUUCCCUGUGGAGGCUGAGAGCUGCAUAAUGAUUUAUUCUUUCCCCACUCCCUGCCUUCUUUUCCUAUUUUGCACUCUCUUUUUCUUUUUUUCCUUUUUGUCAAAGUCAGUUUAAAAAAAUCCCAGGGAACUAAAUGUGAAAACAAACCCUGGUGUUAUAAAAUUGAGGCCACCAAUUUAAACACCGUAGGCAUAAGAAGUGCAAAACUUGAGGGUCUCAUAGUCAGAUGAGCUCCCCAUAGGGACACUGUAAGUAUGUAUGCAGUGUUUUUUCAGCAUCCCCUGGCCUCCUAACCAUAUGCUUUUGUAUAAGGUAGCUUUGAUUCCCCUGAUUUCCCACGCAUGAAACACUUGCUGGCUUCAAAGAGAGCUCUGUAUGCAAAAGACACAUGGGGGUGUAGUUCAGGAGGAGAAUGGGGAUAGUAGGCAGAAUGUGGGUGAACUAACAUUUGAGUCUGUGUUAAUUCCAGUGCUACCUUUUGCUGGUAUGCCCCAGUUAUAACUUUGACUGCUGGCAAACUGGAAGCUUUCUAAAUUUGUUAUUAAACCUAAUCAAUUACCUAUAAUUAAAAUACAUCUCAUUCCUCCAACGAGAAGUUAGAUUUCAGAUUGGUUGUUAGGUUGUGAAUUUAUUUUUGAUACUGUACAUUAAGUAUGAUUUAUAAUAUGAGGUCUUGCACCAUGCAUUUACUGUUACUGUGUUGCUGAUGGAAUCUUCAAGAAAAUUAUUAUUACAUAAUAAUUUAAUGCAUGUAAAGUACAUAUAGGAUAAAUUAAGUAUUUUGAGUUUUAACAAUUUAGAAAAUAAUUUGGUCAUAAGUGAAGAAAGACAACAAAGCCUUUAAACAUCUUCCACAAUUACACAAAAUGUACCACUAGUUCUCCUUUUGUGUUUGCUAUUUUAGGAGAUCUUUAUUUCUAAAUAUAUCCAAACCGUUUUCUCUCCCAUUUAUCUUCUAUUCCUCCAUCAUUCUGGGCAUUGAAAAUAAUUUCUAUGCCAAGAAAUCUCUUGAAACAUUAGAGUCUAAUCUACUACUGACCUUUCUUCUUCCAAGACAAAAAGAAAGAAAGAAAAGAAAGAAAGAAAGAAAGAAAGAAAGAAAGAAAGAAAGAAAGAAAAGAAACAAAAGAAAGAAAGAAAGAGAAAAAAGGCCCUUGUACAUAUCCUAUUAGCUGC